CCUACGGGUGGCAGCAGUGGGGAAUAUUGGACAAUGGGCGAAAGCCUGAUCCAGCCAUGCCGCGUGUGUGAAGAAGGCCUUCGGGUUGUAAAGCACUUUCAGUGGGGAAGAAAGCCUUGGGGCUAAUACCCUCGAGGAAGGACAUCACCCACAGAAGAAGCACCGGCUAACUCCGUGCCAGCAGCCGCGGUAAUACGGAGGGUGCGAGCGUUAAUCGGAAUUACUGGGCGUAAAGCGCGCGUAGGCGGUCUGAUAAGCCGGUUGUGAAAGCCCCGGGCUCAACCUGGGAACGGCAUCCAGAACUGUCAGGCUAGAGUGCAGGAGAGGAAGGUAGAAUUCCCGGUGUAGCGGUGAAAUGCGUAGAGAUCGGGAGGAAUACCAGUGGCGAAGGCGGCCUUCUGGACUGACACUGACGCUGAGGUGCGAAAGCGUGGGUAGCAAACAGGAUUAGAUACCCCGGUAGUC
rnacentral:rRNA from 1 species